rnacentral:rRNA from 1 species
AUACGUAGGGGGCGAGCGUUAUCCGGAAUUAUUGGGCGUAAAGAGUACGUAGGUGGUUUCCUAAGCGAGGGGUUUAAGGCACUGGCUUAACCAAUGUUCGCCCCCCGAACUGGGGAACUUGAGUGCUGGAGAGGAAAGCGGAAUUCCUAGUGUAGCGGUGAAAUGCGUAGAUAUUAGGAGGAACACCAGUGGCGAAGGCGGCUUUCUGGACAGUAACUGACACGGAGGUACGAAAGUGUGGGGAGCAAACAGGAUUAGAUACCCUGGUAGGCCACACCGUAAACGAUGAGCACUAGGUGUCGGGCUCGCAAGAGUUCGGUGCCGCAGUUAACGCAUUAAGUGCUCCGCCUGGGGAGUACGUACGCAAGUAUGAAACUCAAAUGAAUUGACGGGG